AUAAGUUUAAGUUGGUGACUAACAGAGUUCAAUUUUCUUUCUUCUGUUUUGCUUUUUCAAGAUUAUUCUGCUUAUAUUUUGAAAUGAAGGUUUGAAGCCUGUGAGGAGGUUACUAUGGUAAACACAUGAACAAUAAGAGAGUUACAGUAAGACUGAGGCAGAGGGGAGGGUGCUCACAAAACUAGGUGUUCAAUCAGAGUCUAAACAAUCAACAAAAACAACAAAAAAGACACCAAAAAUAAUGCUAAAGACAGAAUUAUCUUUCUACUCUCACUGUACAAAUGAUUCUUCAAGAUUAUAAUGUGAAGAGUAAUUAAAGAGGAUGCAGCCAAAACAUGCAGGGAAAGGAAAGUGUCAUAGAGAUGUGUCUGGUAUCAAGUAACAAAGUGCCUUUGUGUUGAGCAUCCAUCAGGAUUUCCAGAAAAGGAAGAGAAUUGUUAUCAGUACUUGAAUAGCCCUGCUAGUGUCCACGUGUCUUUUCUCUCAGCAGAGCCCGUGAAAAUGUAUUUGUCAGUUAGGGGGAUGGCCUUGGUUGCCUCAGUCCUCACAAUUUCCAGGAAUUUCACAGACAGUUCAAUUUUAACUGGAAAUGCCAGCCAGCCUCCAUUUGUCUUCCAGCGCUUCUCCCUCUGAGUGAUAAUCAGUGAUAAUC
rnacentral:lncRNA from 1 species